CCCUUAUACCCUGGGCUACACACGUGUUACAAUGGGAUGUACAGAGCGUUGCCAAACCGCGAGGUGGAGCUAAUCGCAAAAGCAUCCCCAGUUCAGAUUGGAGUCUGCAACCCGACUCCAUGAAGUUGGAAUUGCUAGUAACGGCGGAUCAGCUACGCCGCCGUGAGUACGUUCCCGGGCCUU
rnacentral:rRNA from 1 species